rnacentral:rRNA from 1 species
AGACCCUACGGGACGCAGCAGUGGGGAAUAUUGGGCAAUGGGCGCAAGCCUGACCCAGCAACGCCGCGUGAAGGAAGAAGGCUUUCGGGUUGUAAACUUCUUUUAUCAGGGACGAAGCAAGUGACGGUACCUGAUGAAUAAGCCACGGCUAACUACGUGCCAGCAGCCGCGGUAAUACGUAGGUGGCAAGCGUUAUCCGGAUUUACUGGGUGUAAAGGGCGUGUAGGCGGGAGUGCAAGUCAGAUGUGAAAACUAUGGGCUCAACCCAUAGCCUGCAUUUGAAACU